GACGAACGCUGGCGGCGUGCUUAACACAUGCAAGUCGAGCGGUAAGGCCCUUUCGGGGGUACACGAGCGGCGAACGGGUGAGUAACACGUGGGUGACCUGCCCUCAGCUCUGGGAUAAGCCUGGGAAACUGGGUCUAAUACUGGAUAUGACUCCAUGACGCAUGUCGUGGGGUGGAAAGCCUUGUGCGGCUGGGGAUGGGCCCGCGGCCUAUCAGCUUGUUGGUGGGGNGAUGGCCUACCAAGGCGACGACGGGUAGCCGGCCUGAGAGGGCGACCGGCCACACUGGGACUGAGACACGGCCCAGACUCCUACGGGAGGCAGCAGUGGGGAAUCUUGCGCAAUGGGCGAAAGCCUGACGCAGCGACGCCGCGUGAGGGAUGAC
rnacentral:rRNA from 1 species